GAUGAACGCUGGCGGCGUGCUUAACACAUGCAAGUCGAACGAUGAAGCCCAGCUUGCUGGGUGGAUUAGUGGCGAACGGGUGAGUAACACGUGAGUAACCUGCCCUUAACUCUGGGAUAAGCCUGGGAAACUGGGUCUAAUACCGGAUAGGAGCGUCCACCGCAUGGUGGGUGUUGGAAAGAUUUAUCGGUUUUGGAUGGACUCGCGGCCUAUCAGCUUGUUGGUGAGGUAAUGGCUCACCAAGGCGACGACGGGUAGCCGGCCUGAGAGGGUGACCGGCCACACUGGGACUGAGACACGGCCCAGACUCCUACGGGAGGCAGCAGUGGGGAAUAUUGCACAAUGGGCGCAAGCCUGAUGCAGCGACGCCGCGUGAGGGAUGACGGCCUUCGGGUUGUAAACCUCCUUCAGUAGGGAAGAAGCGAAAGUGACGGUACCUGCAGAAGAAGCACCGGCUAACUACGUGCCAGCCGCCGCAGUAA
rnacentral:rRNA from 1 species